rnacentral:sRNA from 1 species
CUUGGUCAUUUAGAGGAAGUAAAAGUCGUAACAAGGUUUCCGUAGGUGAACCUGCGGAAGGAUCAUUAGUGAAUUGAAUAUGUUAGCGGACCUCUUCGGAGUCCCUAGCAUCAAAUCAUAUCCAUAGCACCUGUGAACUGUAAGGCUGUCUUGAAAACGAAAGUGAUUAGAGCGCCUGCCCAUUUUAUACAAACAUUAAAGUAACAAACGUAGUCUUAUUAUAAUCUAAUAAAACUUUCAACAACGGAUCUCUUGGCUCUCGCAUCGAUGAAGAACGCAGCGAAAUGCGAUAAGUAAUGUGAAUUGCAGAAUUCAGUGAAUCAUCGAAUCUUUGAACGCACCUUGCGCUCUUUGGUAUUCCGAAGAGCAUGCCUGUUUGAGUGUCAUGAAAAUAUCAACCUUGACUUGGGUUUAGUGCUCUUGUCUUGGCUUGGAUUUGGCUGUUUGCCGCUCGAAAGAGUCGGCUCAGCUUAAAAGUAUUAGCUGGAUCUGUCUUUGAGACUUGGUUUGACUUGGCGUAAUAAGUUAUUUCGCUGAGGACAAUCUUCGGAUUGGCCGAGUUUCUGGGACGUUUGUCCGCUUUCUAAUACAAGUUCUAGCUUGCUAGACAUGACUUUUUUAUUAUCUGGCCUCAAAUCAGGUAGGACUACCCGCUGAACUUAAGCAUAUCAAUAAGCGGAGGAAAAGAAACUAACAAGGAUUCCCCUAGUAACGGCGAGUGAAGCGGGAAGAGCUCAAAUUUGAAAUCUGGUGGCCUCAGGCUAUCCGAGUUGUAAUCUAUAGAAACAUUUUCCGCGUUGGCCCAUGUACAAGUCUCUUGGAAUAGAGCGUCAUAGAGGGUGAGAAUCCCGUCCUUGACAUGGACUACCAGUGCUUUGCGAUAUGUUUUCAACGAGUC